GAGCCAGUGGUGAAGUGGUUUCACAUCCGCGCAGCUUUCCUUGUUUUAUAUAUUUCCGCGGAAGACACUCGUUCGAUUCGGGUCUGGGUCA